CUUGCCUCCUUGGCCGAGAUCCUAGUGCGUAUGUGCAGCAAAACUCAGUGUUGUGCCAGUCAGAUGGUGUGUGAGAUCAUCUGAUUAAUUAGUGGAGUAUAGCAGCCACUAGAGACAGGCUAACCCGGCAAAGAAAACAUUGUCUUUCCUGUAGAAUUGCAUUGUUUUCAGCUGCAGGAUUGAAAUGAGGGCGCAUCGUACCCAGGCUUCAUUGAG